rnacentral:rRNA from 1 species
UAGGGAAUAUUGGGCAAUGGACGCAAGUCUGACCCAGCCAUGCCGCGUGCAGGAUGAAGGCCUUCUGGGUUGUAAACUGCUUUUAUCUAGGAAGAAAAAACUCUUGCGAGAGGAACUGACGGUACUAGAUGAAUAAGCACCGGCUAACUCCGUGCCAGCAGCCGCGGUAAUACGGAGGGUGCAAGCGUUGUCCGGAUUUAUUGGGUUUAAAGGGUGCGUAGGCGGCCCUAUAAGUCAGUGGUGAAAGCCCAUCGCUCAACGAUGGAACUGCCAUUGAUACUGUAGGGCUUGAGUACAGACGAGGUAGGCGGAAUUGAUGGUGUAGCGGUGAAAUGCAUAGAUACCAUCAAGAACACCGAUUGCGUAGGCAGCUUACUAGGCUGUAACUGACGCUGAGGCACGAAAGCGUGGGGAGCGAACAGG